rnacentral:sRNA from 1 species
UGUCUGGUAUAAUAAGUGAAUUGAUUUC